rnacentral:rRNA from 1 species
GCCGUAACUAUAACGGUCCUAAGGUAGCGAAAUUCCUUGUCGGGUAAGUUCCGACCUGCACGAAUGGCGUAAUGAUGGCCAGGCUGUCUCCACCCGAGACUCAGUGAAAUUGAACUCGCUGUGAAGAUGCAGUGUACCCGCGGCAAGACGGAAAGACCCCGUGAACCUUUACUAUAGCUUGACACUGAACAUUGAGCCUUGAUGUGUAGGAUAGGUGGGAGGCUUUGAAGUGUGGACGCCAGUCUGCAUGGAGCCGACCUUGAAAUACCACCCUUUAAUGUUUGAUGUUCUAACGUGGACCCGUAAUCCGGGUUGCGGACAGUGUCUGGUGGGUAGUUUGACUGGGGCGGUCUCCUCCUAAAGAGUAACGGAGGAGCACGAAGGUUGGCUAAUCCUGGUCGGACAUCAGGAGGUUAGUGCAAUGGCAUAAGCCAGCUUGACUGCGAGCGUGACGGCGCGAGCAGGUGCGAAAGCAGGUCAUAGUGAUCCGGUGGUUCUGAAUGGAAGGGCCAUCGCUCAACGGAUAAAAGGUACUCCGGGGAUAACAGGCUGAUACCGCCCAAGAGUUCAUAUCGACGGCGGUGUUUGGCACCUCGAUGUCGGCUCAUCACAUCCUGGGGCUGAAGUAGGUCCCAAGGGUAUGGCUGUUCGCCAUUUAAAGUGGUACGCGAGCUGGGUUUAGAACGUCGUGAGACAGUUCGGUCCCUAUCUGCCGUGGGCGCUGGAGAACUGAGGGGGGCUGCUCCUAGUACGAGAGGACCGGAGUGGACGCAUCACUGGUGUUCGGGUUGUCAUGCCAAUGGCACUGCCCGGUAGCUAAAUGCGGAAGAGAUAAGUGCUGAAAGCAUCUAAGCACGAAACUUGCCCCGAGAUGAGUUCUCCCUGAGACUUAGAGUCUCCUGAAGGAACGUUGAAGACGACGACGUUGAUAGGCCGGGUGUGUAAGCGCAGCGAUGCGUUGAGCUAACCGGUACUAAUGAACCGUGAGGCUUAACCUUACAACGCCGAAG